GAAGUCCUAACUUAAUUAAAAUGCCUGAAUUGCAAUCAGGGGAUGUAAAAUGUUUACAGGCCUUCAGGG
rnacentral:tRNA from 1 species